GCCCUUGUAGCGCAAUGGAGAGCGCACCGGCUUCCGGAGCCGGGGGUUGCAGGUUCGAGUCCUGCCGGGGGCG
rnacentral:tRNA from 1 species